rnacentral:rRNA from 1 species
AACGUAGGUACCGAGCGUUAUCCGGAUUUACUGGGCGUAAAGCGCGUUCAGGCGGUUUGGCAAGUCGGGCAUGAAAUCUCUCGGCUCAACCGGGAGAGGUUGUCCGAUACUGCUGGACUUGAGGGCAGUAGAGGGUGGUGGAAUUCCGGGUGUAGUGGUGAAAUGCGUAGAUAUCCGGAGGAACACCAGUGGCGAAAGCGGCCACCUGGACUGCACCUGACGCUGACACGCGAAAGCUAGGGGAGCGAACGGG